UGUGGAAAACACCUUGAAGGUGCUUGCAG
rnacentral:piRNA from 1 species